UGUGCUACUAUUCGCCGUGCCGUCUUCUUCCUCGCACGGACGCAUAGCCCCGUUCCAAUUCCAGAUCUGCAUCUCAGCACCCGAUGUUCAAGUCUUCAACUACCGGCAAUCAACUUCCGAUCAUCAGGAACUAAUGGCGGAGGUUUCUCGAUGGUGAUUCCAGUCCGCGAUUUCUUAUUUUUGCCACUGAUUAGGAGGCGUUCCUCCCAUCUUUUGGUCCAUCCUCACCUCAGCAACACAGGCGGUGUUCUUCCAGUGUUGCUGAGUCUCCUCCGACAACAUUUCAUCUUCCGCAGCCUUCAUCUACGAGCAGCGAUUCCAGAUUGCAGAAUUCCAGAUUUCGGUUCGUUGACAGUCCCAAUUGGUCUUUGUUCACUUAGGAGGUUUCUUGGGCAUUCUUAGCUCUUCAUGGCUGAGUUGUAGCUGAGGUUCUUUUCUUCCGACAUCUCAUGAAGUGUCAUUGCGGUUCCUUGUGUAAUGCCAAGGAGAAGGAAUGUUGGAGUGUGGUCUUCGUGUGAUAAGUUACUUGACUUGAUUUAGAGAUUGAGAGGACUUUUAGAGCUUUGAGAAUUCAAGAGAGGACAAAUUUCUAAAAAUAAUCCUCAAAUUUUAGUUACUUCAACGGCAGAAAACAACUUGACUAUGAAGGAGUUUGCGGCUGCUGAUAUGGCCUACAAGUAUUCUUGGAUUACCUAUCUAUAUCUGGCAGUGGAUUUUGAGCUUAGAUCAGGCUUAAUACAUUUGCUUCCUAAGUUUCAAGGUUUAUUCGGGGAAGAUCCUUACAGGCAUUUACAUGAGUUCCAUGUGGUUUUCUUAGCCAUAAAGCCAGAGGGCAUUUCAGCGGAAGAUAUCAAGCUGAGAGCUUUUCCAUUUUCCUUGUCAGGAGCAGUAAAGGAAUGGUUAUAUUAUCUUCCAGUCAAAUUUAUUAUGAGUUGGAUUGAUAGGAAGAGAUCAUUUUUAGAUAAAUACUUCCAGCUUCAAGAACCACAACUAUAAGGAAGAGCAUUUGCGGAAUUCAACAAGUUGUAGGAGAGACUCUUUAUGAUUAUUGGGAAAGGUUCAAAAAAUUGUAUUCAAGUUGUCCUCAAUAUUAAAUCAGUGAUCAUUUACUUGUUCAAUAGUUUUA